rnacentral:rRNA from 1 species
CCUACGGGGGGCUGCAGUGGGGAAUUUUGGACAAUGGGCGAAAGCCUGAUCCAGCCAUUCCGCGUGAGUGAAGAAGGCCUUCGGGUUGUAAAGCUCUUUCGGCAGGAACGAAACGGUCUUUUCUAAUACAAGAGGCUAAUGACGGUACCUGAAGAAGAAGCACCGGCUAACUACGUGCCAGCAGCCGCGGUAAUACGUAGGGUGCGAGCGUUAGUCGGAAGUACUGGGCGUAAAGCGUGCGACAGCGGUGAAAUCCCCGGGCUUAACCUGGGAACUGCGUUUGUGACUGUAGGGCUAGAGUGCGGCAGAGGGGGGUAGAAUUCCACGUGUAGCAGUGAAAUGCGUAGAGAUGUGGAGGAAUACCGAUGGCGAAGGCAGCCCCCUGGGUCGACACUGACGCUCAUGCACGAAAGCGUGGGGAGCAAACAGGAUUAGAUACCCUGGUAGUC